rnacentral:rRNA from 1 species
CCUACGGGAGGCUGCAGUGGGGGAUAUUGCACAAUGGGGGGAACCCUGAUGCAGCGACGCCGCGUGAGCGAAGAAGUACCUCGGUAUGUAAAGCUCUAUCAGCAGGGAAGAAAAUGACGGUACCUGACUAAGAAGCCCCGGCUAAAUACGUGCCAGCAGCCGCGGUAAUACGUAUGGGGCAAGCGUUAUCCGGAUUUACUGGGUGUAAAGGGAGCGUAGACGGCGAUGCAAGUCUGAAGUGAAAGGCGGGGGCCCAACCCCCGGACUGCUUUGGAAACUGUAUGGCUGGAGUGCAGGAGAGGUAAGUGGAAUUCCUAGUGUAGCGGUGAAAUGCGUAGAUAUUAGGAGGAACACCAGUGGCGAAAGCGGCUCUCUGGUCUGUAACUGACGCUGAGGUUCGAAAGCGUGGGUAGCAAACAGGAUUAGAUACCCGAGUAGUC